rnacentral:lncRNA from 1 species
GUCAUUUAAUCUUAUGAUAUUUUACAUUUCAUGUGAAAAAAAAUUAAAUAUUAAUUUUUUAAUAUGAAAAAUAUUAAUUUAUUAAUACAACAUAAAAGUAAUAAAGGACAAUAUAUAAAAAUAUUUGAAGUAUUUGAUAUUUUAUUAAAUUAAAAUAAUUUUAAAUUAAUAUAUAGCCGCGCAACGCGCGGGUACGUAUACUAGUGAAGAAC